CGAACAAGACAUUUUUAGGCGACUAAAAUGUUGCAAUUAGCUUUCAUGAACUGAGAACACACCGUGAAAGGGUUAAAGUUCUAAGAAGACAGCGCUGCUGACUCCCUGACUGGACAACGCCCUG